UACGUAGGAUCCGAGCGUUAUCCGGAUUUAUUGGGUUUAAAGGGUGCGCAGGCGGGGGAUUAAGUCGGCGGUGAAAUUUUGCAGCUCAACUGUAAAAGUGCCUUCGAAACUGGUUUCCUUGAGUGUGGAUGAAGUAGGCGGAAUUUGUGGUGUAGCGGUGAAAUGCAUAGAUAUCACGAGGAACUCCGAUUGCGCAGGCAGCUUACUAAACCAUAACUGACGCUCAGGCACGAAGGCGUGGGGAUCAAACAGGAUUAGAUACCCUGGUAGU
rnacentral:rRNA from 1 species